GCUUACGAUCAUAUUUUGCUGAAUAUACGCGAUCUCGUCAGAUCUCGCAAGUCAAGCAGCAACGGGCGUGGGCAGUACUUAGAUUGGAGACAGCUUGGGAAUUCCACGUGUCGUAAGCUUUU
rnacentral:rRNA from 1 species